rnacentral:lncRNA from 1 species
CCUGAAUCAAAAUUUUUCUGGGUUGUGUUUGAUUAUUUUGUGAGUAAACAAAUUCAGGAUAUAAGUAACUUUAUAGUCUUGCGCUAAUUUAGUGUGGUAACCUAAUUAAUAAUAUUGCCACAUCUUCAGAAUAUAACCCAUUUCUACCCCCCACCUUAUUAUCUUGGGAAACAGGAAACCAAAUAUGAAUUGAAACUAAAUUCGCUUACAAAUAAAGAACUUUUCAAGACACAGGAAAUGUAUUUUUAUUCUACUUAGUAGAACAUUAAAGAACAUUAAAGAAGUAGAACAUUAAAGAUCAUUAAAGAACUUUUCUAUGCGGAUUAAUAUUUUAAUAUUCUGAAAUCUGAAUAAUAAUAUGCCUUAAGAAAUUCAAGGAGUGUAAUAUGAUUUCUGAUAUAAAAGUACUUCAGGGAAAACAAACUAUUUCAAAUAUGUUAACUAUUAUUACUACUCCAAAUUCUUCAAACACUGUGCCGUUCUAAUUUAUUAAUGAAAUGAUACACUAUUGAAAUGAUUUCAUUUUUAAUAAUGCCUCACAAAAUUUGAAUGUCUUUGCUUUCAUUAGGUGAUCAUUCAAAAUACCAAGCACAGCUGCUCACAGAUGACUGACCAAACAGGAAUCUCACUCCAUUUUUCAAUGUUCACCGGCUGACAACUUUUAGACAUCAUCCCUUCCUCAUCGUUUUUGUCCACAUUUGGGUGAGCUACUAAGAGAGCCUGUGCUUUCUCCUUCAGUACCUGCUGGAAACUGAAACCAUACAAGCCCCCCCCCCCUUAUCCGUACCCCACCCUUAAAUGCAAUAAAAACUCCUGAGCCAGUCUCUUUUUCUGGCACUCUCCAGACACUUCAGACCUCCUUGAGAUCCCUGCUCUGUGUGGUGUACUACUCUUGACAUUUCAGUCAAAUUUCAGUGAAAGUGCCCCCUGCUUUUGCAGGGUGACCGUAACGGCUUGACCCCUGCAGGAACUGAUCGAUCAAGGAAGACAACACAACAGCUGCAUGGAUUUCCUUCACAAACUAUUGUUUUUAUCUUCAUAAUUCAAAGAAAUCUACCUGCAAAGCUAGCUGAACUCCUCUUCACAGACCGCUCACAGCAGAGUUGGAUUCGCGGUGCAACAGGCCCAUUCCCGUUACAGGAGAAAGUUACAGUGUAGACCUAUCAGCGUGUUGAGAAGAUAAGAGUAAGAAGGCAAGAUAUUGUUUUUGUGACAAAUUGUGGUGAAUAUAAAGCUAAGAUACUUUGGGUUGUUUCUGUAGGUAAUGAGGAUUCAUGGGCCAAGUGUGCAUAUUUGUGUCUUUGGACAAAAAUUAUUGUUAGAGUUUGGAUUCAAGUCCAAAUUUUCUCCAAAAUUUUCUCCAAAUUUUCCCCAGAACAAAUAGUUAUCCAAUAAAGAAACCAUACUUUGCUACA